rnacentral:rRNA from 1 species
CCUACGGGAGGCAGCAGUGGGGGAUAUUGCACAAUGGGGGAAACCCUGAUGCAGCGACGCCGCGUGUGGGAAGACGGUCCUCUGGAUUGUAAACCACUGUCCCCAGGGACGAAGAUGACGGUAUCUGGGGAGGAAGCUCCGGCCAAAUACGUGCCAGCAGCCGCGGUAAUACGUAGGGAGCGAGCGUUGUCCGGAAUUACUGGGUGUAACGGGAGCGUAGGCGGGGAUGCAAGUUGGGGGUAAAAACUACCGGCUGAACUGGUAGUCGCACUCAAAACUGCAGCUCUUGAGUGAAGUAGAGGCAGGCGGAAUGCCUAGUGUAGCGGUGAAAUGCGUAGAUAUUAGGAAGAACACCAGUGGCGAAGGCGGCCUGCUGGGCUUUUACUGACGCUGAGGCUCGAAAGUGUGGGGAGCAAACAGGAUUAGAUACCCCGGUAGUC